rnacentral:rRNA from 1 species
GGGAAUCUUCCGCAAUGGACGAAAGUCUGACGGAGCAACGCCGCGUGAGUGAUGAAGGUUUUCGGAUCGUAAAACUCUGUUGUUAGGGAAGAACAAGUACCGUUCGAAAAGGGCGGUACCUUGACGGUACCUAACCAGAAAGCCACGGCGAACUACGUGCCAGCAGCCGCGGUAAUACGUAGGUGGCAAGCGUUGUCCGGAAUUAUUGGGCGUAAAGAGCGCGCAGGCGGUUUCUUAAGUCUGAUGUGAAAGCCCCCGGCUCAACCGGGGAGGGUCAUUGGAAACUGGGGAACUUGAGUGCAGAAGAGGAGAGUGGAAUUCCACGUGUAGCGGUGAAAUGCGUAGAGAUGUGGAGGAACACCAGUGGCGAAGGCGACUCUCUGGUCUGUAACUGACGCUGAGGCGCGAAAGCGUGGGGAGCGAACAGG